rnacentral:rRNA from 1 species
UAGUCCACGCCCUAAACGAUGAUCACUCGACAUAUGCGAUAUACUGUAUGUGUCCUAGCGAAAGCGUUAAGUGAUCCACCUGGGGAGUACGUUCGCAAGAAUGAAACUCAAAGGAAUUGACGGGGGUCCGCACAAGCGGAGGAGCAUGUGGUUUAAUUCGAUGAUACGCGAGGAACCUUACCUGGGCUAGAAUGCUUUGGAUCGCUUGGGAAACCAGGCUUUCUCUUCGGAGACCGAUUGCAAGGUGCUGCAUGGUUGUCGUCAGCUCGUGCCGUGAGGUGUUGGGUUAAGUCCCGCAACGAGCGCAACCCCUAUCCUUAGUUGCCAUCAGGUAAUGCUGGGGACUCUAAGGAAACUGCCUACGCAAGUAGUGAGGGAAGGGAGGGGGACGACGGUUAAAUCAUCAUGGGGCCUUUAUGUCCAGGGGCUACACACGUGCUACAAUGGCCAGUACAAA